rnacentral:rRNA from 1 species
ACAUGUCUACAACAUAGCAUUAAUGCACCGGAUCCAAUAAGAACUCCACAUUUAAGCGCGCUCAGGCUAGAGUAGUACUAGGAUGGGUGACUUCCUGGGAAGUCCUAGUGUUUUACAUGCC